UUGACCUCGGAUCAGGUAGGGAUACCCGCUGAACUUAAGCAUAUCAAUAAGCGGAGGAAAUCUAUUACCGAUUGUUGGGUUCCCUAGGAGCCCAACCCCCACCCGUGUUUACUGUACAUAAAUUGCUUCGGGGGCCCGCCAUUCAAGGCCGCCGGGGGCUCUCAGCCGGGUC
rnacentral:rRNA from 1 species